AAUUGACACCAUGGAUGGCCAAGGAGCCCCUCUCCCCAGCCAGCCCCUUGGCCUGGGCAUUCUCCUCCCCUGCCUCCUUUGUUCUUUCAUGGAAUUCAGUUGAUAUUUGAGGUCACCUAAUAGACACCAAGCAGGCACGAUGGGGGAACACAGAUGCACCGGUGGUACAGGGCUAGCCAGAGGCCUCAGGCCAGACUCCAGGACACUGGCCUCCCUGGGAAGCAGCAGUGUUAACAGAGAUCAAAGAGCAUCUAAGGGAGGAGGGGACUGAGCCUGAGCGGGAAGGGGGCCCUCUUGUGUCCGACAGUGGGAUUCCAACAGUGAGGUUCUCAGAUGCUGCUUCCCCCUGGAGGCAAGCCGUUGCCCUGCAGCUCAAGCCACGUGAUUUCUGAGAAAAGGCCCUUCCUGGAGGAGAACUGAAACUUAGGGUGGGGACUGUAGAAAGGGGCGGAGAGAUCAGGAAGCUGCCUAGACGGCUGCCGAGCUGAGGUCAGCUGGGUCCUGGGACAGCCAGCAAGCCGCUCAGGAUGGCAUCGGGCCGGGCACGCUGCACCCGAAAGCUGCGGAACUGGGUGGUGGAGCAAGUGGAGAGCGGGCAGUUCCCGGGGGUGUGCUGGGACGAUGCAGCUAAGACCAUGUUCCGGAUUCCUUGGAAGCAUGCGGGCAAGCAGGACUUCCGGGAGGACCAGGAUGCCGCUUUCUUCAAGGCAUGGGCGAUAUUUAAGGGGAAGUACAAGGAGGGAGACACAGAAGGCCCUGCUAUCUGGAAGACCCGUCUGCGCUGUGCUCUCAACAAGAGCCCUGAAUUUGAGGAGGUUCCUGAAAAUGGCCAUAGGGAUGGAGCUGAGCCCUACAAGGUGUAUCGGCUGCUGCCAUCGGGGACCCUCCCUGCCCAGCCAGGGACCCAGAAAUCACCAUCAAAGCGACAUUACAGUUCUGUGUCCUCUGAGAGGGAAGAGGAUGAGGGUACCACAAAGAACUGCAUACUCAGUCCCUCUUUGAUUGAGGAUCCCCUCAAAAACGAGGAGGUGGGGGCCAGUGGGGAAGCAGGCCAUUCAGAAUUUGGGAGCAGCAGCAGCAGCAACAGCCCUGAGCCUCAGGAAGGUACAGACACAACAGAAGCCCCUUUACAAGGAGAUCAGGUGUCAUUGGAGAGUCUGCCCCCUCCAGACUCAGACUACUCGCUGCUGCUUACCUUCAUCUACGGUGGGCGCGUGGUGGGCGAAGCCCAGGUGCAGAGCCUGGACUGCCGCCUUGUGGCUGAGCCCUCAGGCUCCCAGUAUGGGAUGGAGCAGGUGGUGUUUCCCAAGCCUGACCCACGAGAGCCCACCCAGCGCCUGCUGAGCCAGAUUGAGAGAGGUGUCCUAGUAGCCAGCAACUCCAGAGGCCUCUUUGUGCAGCGUCUCUGCCCCAUCCCCAUCUCCUGGAACGCGCCCCAGGCACCACCCGGUCCAGGCCCGCAUCUGCUGCCCAGCAAUGAGUGCGUGGAGCUCUUCAGAACCACCUACUUCUGCAGAGGUGAGGCUGUUCCAGUUGAGCUGAGCCCCUGCCCCCAUCUCUUAGGACCCCCUGGGACCUUGCAGGCUCUGCCACCACCCUGUGUUCCUUCCAGUAGAUCCUUCAUUACAGCCCAGGCAUGGCACCCUGCACUUGAGCGGUGCACACACAUCCUGUGGGGCCCUGUGCUCAGCCCUGGCAGCUGUCUGGCAGCCAGCCUUCCCCAGCCAAGGUCUUGGAAGAUGAGGCUCGGAUGCAGCUCAGCACACAAGUCACAUGUUGGGGACUGCCACCACAUGGCAGCAUGCAGUAACGGGAAGGUGCACCUCGCGGCCCUCUCCUGCAUAUGCACUUGCACGGGCCGGCCCCAUAUUUGGGACAGCUCGCACACCUCCCACACACUAGCCCUGCUGCACCCCGGGCAGCUCCUCGGGUUGUCCUUCUCCCGUUCGCCCCUGCCUGGGAUUCCAUUUCCUGCCUCCAUUCACCUCUAAAUCUCACCUUGGGAGUGGAAGCCAGGAGUACAGGGGACGCAGAGUGGGAGUGUUGCAGGGCCACGCAUGCCCUCGGCAGACAGGGUGCGAGCAGACAAUAGAGGUGGGGACACUUCUAUGUUAGCAGCCCGGGCUGCUGCCUUGAGGACUCUAAGCUCUUCCAGCAGAGAGCUUUGAGGGUGUAUAAAAAUCGGUUACCUCUAAAUACUUCUUACUUGAAAAAGGGGCACCUUUUCCUCCUUGCACAUGGGUGAGUAGCAGCUUAGUUGCUGGCAUCCCUCCUGGUAUGAGGCAACAGCCGUGACCCAGCAGCUCCCGCUCUGGCUUUGGUCUCCAUUUGGCCCCACACCCACCCCUUUUUCUCCAUGAUGGGUCCCUCUCUAUUCCCUCCCUGCCUGUGGCCUCUGCCUUCUUUCUUCCAACCCUUGAUCCUUUCUCUUUCAUCAGACCUGGCCAGGUACUUCCAGGGCCUGGGCCCCCCACCCAAGUUCCAGGUGACUCUGAACUUCUGGGAGGAGAGCCCUGGCCCCAGCCACACCCCGAAGAGUCUUAUCACAGUGCAGAUGGAGCAGGCCUUUGCCCGACGUUUACUGGAG